rnacentral:rRNA from 1 species
AUGCAAGUCGAGGGGCGGCGAGAAUUAGUUUACUAAUUUGUCGGCGACCGGCGCACGGGUGCGUAACGCGUAUGCAACCUACCUUUUACUGGGGGAUAGCCCGGAGAAAUUCGGAUUAAUACCCCAUAGUAUCUAUUAAUGGCAUCAUUUGAUAGAUUAAAGUUUCGGCGGUAAAAGAUGGGCAUGCGUCCUAUUAGCUAGAUGGUAAGGUAACGGCUUACCAUGGCUACGAUAGGUAGGGGGGCCUGAGAGGGUAGUCCCCCACACUGGUACUGAGACACGGACCAGACUCC